CAGCGCUUCCCCACGGUUCUCUCUGCAGGGACAGCGAUAGCAGUGCGGGGACACGAGGGAUUCCUCUGGGAGACGGGGGGGUUGUGCUGCCUGUACGGAGUGCGGCGGUACGAGGCGGGACACCCGCACCUGUCACGGUCCUCUGAGGGAGUUUGGUCUCAGAGACGAGCUUUGACUUUGCUAAGUAGCAGUUACAGGCCGAAGCCUAUGAUAAAACCAAAUGCUUUAAAUUUAAUUUCACAUUUUGACAGAUUAUACCGAUCUUUUUUUUUUUUGGUGGCAUAUGGUAAUACAGAUAGUUUUAAUUUUAUUUAUAGUUUUGCAUAGUUUAUAUUGUGGAGUAACAGAUCCGUAAUUUUUAUUCCAGAAUGAUGAGCGUCUGUUUGACAGUGCUCACUGUGAGCUAAAAGGCAUCUCUAAGGGUUACCUAAAGCAACAGCAGGGCACCAUUGUGUUAAUUGACAGAAAUAAAUUAUUAAUUUAGGUGUGGUUCCCAUGGAAGUUCUGCUUUGAAAGUGGGUUUUGUAUUUUUUUCUUUUAAUUAAAUCUGAUGCUUUAGCAAUUGGUAAGUAAUGGGAGAGUUCUCCAGAGAGUUCAGUGAGCAGAGGUGGUGCAGGUAAGCUCUGAAGGUUUAAUAAUGCACAAAGCACACAGGACUUGUUUGGAAUUGACUGCAGGCAAGGCCUGACAUGGAGGAAAGGUCUGGAAUUUUGGUGUUUGGAUCUGGGUUGUAAGUAUAAAGAUGGCUGAAGAUCUCUACAGAAUUUGUAGAAGAUGAGGCAUUUAGUGUUGAGGGAGCUUUGAUUCUGUGCUGUCAUUCUGUUCUAUGCAGGGGAUAAAGUGGAGAGUGUCAGAGGGGAACCUAGAGGAGACCUGGAGAGGGACUUUGGCCAAGGGCAUGGAGUGACAGGAUGGGGGAAUGGCUUUGCACUGACUGAGAGCUUCCAUAGAGGAGGGAAUUCCUGGAAGGUGGGCAGGCCCUGGCACAGAGCAGCUGUGGCUGUCCCUGGGUCCCUGGCAGUGCCCAAGGCCAGCUUGGAGGGGGUUUGGGGCACUCUGGGAUAGUGAAGGUUGUCCCUGCUAUGGUAGGGGGUUGGAAUUGGAUGAUAUUUUUAAUGUUCUUUCCAACCCAAACCAUUCUCUGAUUCUAUUAUGUCUAACCCAAAUGUUAACAAAACUUCCAAAAUUCCAUUUGAAUGUGAACUUCUGAUCUCUGUGGAAUGUAUUGGGGAAAUCCUGGCUUGGAUUGUGAGCUGUUCCUGAGGCAUGGUUUGUAUCUCUGUACUUGGUGUAGAACCAUUCAAUAAAUAACAGUUUGUGAUUGAACUAAUCAGUCUUGUUUCUGAUUUCUAGCAUAAAAAUCCUGUCCCUGUGGAUGUAGCAGUUACAGCCAGCACAAUUGGGAGGCUCAUGGCACAUCACCCACCAAGCUGCUGACUGCAAGGAUAUCCUCACAUUGGUGAGGAUAGUUACAGCUAUGCUGGGAAGUCAUGCAGUGUUGCAAAACAACUGCACAGCACUGCAGGGAAGCUGAAGAUUUGUGCAGCAGCUUUAAUUUAGAUGUGGCAAAGGAUUCUGUCAUCACCUGCAAUCAAGUGAUCAGCCUGUCUUUCAAAACUUGAAGUAGGUGCUUGAAGUCAGAUGAGAAUUUAGUUACUGUUCUGGGUAGCACUGCUCACAGGAGAAUGUUCUUACAUAUUUCUCAAAAGAACACUUUGGAUGCCAGCAGUAAAGGUGAAGGAUCAGAUAUUUAUAUCUACCUGUCAUUAGUUCCCUUUCAGGCUUUCUGAGUAACAUUUUUCAUGGCAGGCACAAGACAGUGAUUCGUACCAGAAAUGUAUUUUGUGCAUGUUCAGGCUGCAUCAGUGCAUCAAACAUUCCAGUGUUGUAAAUUUAAUUAUUUAAAUUCUCUAUGCUUUUUAACUGGCUUCCAAAUUAUCUCUGCAGUUUGCAGCCUUUUUUUCUUGGCUUCUGAGGUGGAAACCUUAUUCCUGAUGCAAAUUCUUUAUCUGUGAAAGUUUGGAUCUUUCAAGGGGAGAAAAUAUGUUUCUUACAGGAUUGAAGGAAUAGUUUUGUUGGUAAAUACAGUUACACAUCUACAGGUUGAAUAUAUUUUAUGUUCUUGAAAUAAACUUAAAUGGAAAACAUUUAAACUUCUA